CGAGCGGUGAUGAUGACGACAUUAUGUCAUACUCCUGAAAAUGACUGAUGGUUUAAAGUCACUACCUCAUCUGAGCUUUCA
rnacentral:snoRNA from 1 species